rnacentral:rRNA from 1 species
AUUGAACGCUGGCGGCAUGCCUUACACAUGCAAGUCGAGCGGCAGCGCGGGGGCAACCCUGGCGGCAAGCGGCGAACGGGUGAGUAAUAUAUCGGAACGUGUCCUGUAGCGGGGGAUAACCUAUCGAAAGAUGGACUAAUACCGCAUACGACCUACGGGUGAAAGCGGAGGACCGCAAGGCUUCGCACUAUAGGAGCGGCCGAUAUCGGAUUAGCUAGUUGGCGGGGUAAAAGCCCACCAAGGCGACGAUCCGUAGCUGGUCUGAGAGGACGACCAGCCACACUGGAACUGAGACACGGUCCAGACUCCUACGGGAGGCAGCAGUGGGGAAUUUUGGACAAUGGGCGCAAGCCUGACGCAGCGACACCGUGUGAAGGAUGAAGAUCUUCGGAUUGUAAACUCCUGUUGCCCGGGACGAAACGCUCUGACUUAACACGUCGGAGUUUGACGGUACCGGGUGAGGAAGCCCCGGCUAACUCUGUGCCAGCAGCCGCAGUAACAC